rnacentral:rRNA from 1 species
CGAACGGGUGAGUAACACGUGGGCAAUCUGCCCUUCACUCUGGGACAAGCCCUGGAAACGGGGUCUAAUACCGGAUAACACUCUGUCCCGCAUGGGACGGGGUUAAAAGCUCCGGCGGUGAAGGAUGAGCCCGCGGCCUAUCAGCUUGUUGGUGGGGUAAUGGCCUACCAAGGCGACGACGGGUAGCCGGCCUGAGAGGGCGACCGGCCACACUGGGACUGAGACACGGCCCAGACUCCUACGGGAGGCAGCAGUGGGGAAUAUUGCACAAUGGGCGAAAGCCUGAUGCAGCGACGCCGCGUGAGGGAUGACGGCCUUCGGGUUGUAAACCUCUUUCAGCAGGGAAGAAGCGAAAGUGACGGUACCUGCAGAAGAAGCGCCGGCUAACUACGUGCCAGCAGCCGCGGUAAUACGUAGGGCGCAAGCGUUGUCCGGAAUUAUUGGGCGUAAAGAGCUCGUAGGCGGCUUGUCACGUCGGAUGUGAAAGCCCGGGGCUUAACCCCGGGUCUGCAUUCGAUACGGGCUAGCUAGAGUGUGGUAGGGGAGAUCGGAAUUCCUGGUGUAGCGGUGAAAUGCGCAGAUAUCAGGAGGAACACCGGUGGCGAAGGCGGAUCUCUGGGCCAUUACUGACGCUGAGGAGCGAAAGCGUGGGGAGCGAACAGGAUUAGAUACCCUGGUAGUCCACGCCGUAAACGUUGGGAACUAGGUGUUGGCGACAUUCCACGUCGUCGGUGCCGCAGCUAACGCAUUAAGUUCCCCGCCUGGGGAGUACGGCCGCAAGGCUAAACUCAAAGGAAUUGACGGGGGCCCGCACAAGCAGCGGAGCAUGUGGCUUAAUUCGACGCAACGCGAAGAACCUUACCAAGGCUUGACAUAUACCGGAAAGCAUCAGAGAUGGUGCCCCCCUUGUGGUCGGUAUACAGGUGGUGCAUGGCUGUCGUCAGCUCGUGUCGUGAGAUGUUGGGUUAAGUCCCGCAACGAGCGCAACCCUUGUUCUGUGUUGCCAGCAUGCCCUUCGGGGUGAUGGGGACUCACAGGAGACUGCCGGGGUCAACUCGGAGGAAGGUGGGGACGACGUCAAGUCAUCAUGCCCCUUAUGUCUUGGGCUGCACACGUGCUACAAUGGCCGGUACAAUGAGCUGCGAUGCCGCGAGGCGGAGCGAAUCUCAAAAAGCCGGUCUCAGUUCGGAUUGGGGUCUGCAACUCGACCCCAUGAAGUCGGAGUUGCUAGUAAUCGCAGAUCAGCAUUGCUGCGGUGAAUACGUUCCCGGGCCUUGUACACACCGCCCGUCACGUCACGAAAGUCGGUAACACCCGA